rnacentral:rRNA from 1 species
UACGUAGGUGGCAAGCGUUAUCCGGAAUUAUUGGGCGUAAAGAGGGAGCAGGCGGCAGCAAGGGUCUGUGGUGAAAGACUGAAGCUUAACUUCAGUAAGCCAUAGAAACCGGGCAGCUGGAGUGCAGGAGAGGAUCGUGGAAUUCCAUGUGUAGCGGUGAAAUGCGUAGAUAUAUGGAGGAACACCAGUGGCGAAGGCGACGAUCUGGCCUGUAACUGACGCUCAGUCCCGAAAGCGUGG